rnacentral:rRNA from 1 species
GGACGAACGCUGGCGGCGUGCCUAACACAUGCAAGUCGAGCGAGGAGAUCCUCGGGAUGAUCCUAGCGGCGGACGGGUGAGUAACACGUGGGCAACCUGCCUCAUAGAGAGGAAUAGCCUUCCGAAAGGGAGAUUAAUACCUCAUAACAUUGCAGUUUCGCAUGGAACAGCAAUUAAAGGAGCAAUCCGCUAUGAGAUGGGCCCGCGGCGCAUUAGCUAGUUGGUGAGGUAACGGCUCACCAAGGCGACGAUGCGUAGCCGACCUGAGAGGGUGAUCGGCCACAUUGGGACUGAGACACGGCCCAGACUCCUACGGGAGGCAGCAGUGGGGAAUAUUGCACAAUGGGGGAAACCCUGAUGCAAGCAACGCCGCGUGAGUGAUGACGGCCUUCGGGUUGUAAAGCUCUGUCUUCAGGGACGAUAAUGACGGUACCUGAGGAGGAAGCCACGGCUAACUACGUGCCAGCAGCGGC